UGGGGAAUCUUGCACAAUGGGGGAAACCCUGAUGCAGCGACGCCGCGUGAGCGAUGAAGGUUUUCGAAUCGUAAAGCUCUGUCCUAUGGGAAGAUAAUGACGGUACCAUGGGAGGAAGCCCCGGCUAACUACGUGCCAGCAGCCGCGGUAAUACGUAGGGGGCGAGCGUUGUCCGGACUUACUGGGCGUAAAGGGUUCGCAGGCGGUAUGGCAAGUCCGAUGUAAAAGGCGAAGGCUCAACCUUCGUAAGCAUCGGAAACUGUCAAGCUUGAGUGAAGGAGAGGCAAGUGGAAUUCCUAGUGUAGCGGUGGAAUGCGUAGAUAUUAGGAGGAAUACCGGUGGCGAAGGCGACUUGCUGGACUUCAACUGACGCUGAGGGACGAAAGCGUGGGUAGCAAACAGG
rnacentral:rRNA from 1 species